rnacentral:rRNA from 1 species
GACGAACGCUGGCGGCGUGCUUAACACAUGCAAGUCGAACGGAAAGGCCCUGCUUUUGUGGGGUGCUCGAGUGGCGAACGGGUGAGUAACACGUGAGUAACCUGCCCUUGACUUUGGGAUAACUUCAGGAAACUGGGGCUAAUACCGGAUAGGAGCUCCUGCUGCAUGGUGGGGGUUGGAAAGUUUCGGCGGUUGGGGAUGGACUCGCGGCUUAUCAGCUUGUUGGUGGGGUAGUGGCUUACCAAGGCUUUGACGGGUAGCCGGCCUGAGAGGGUGACCGGCCAAAUUGGGACUGGGAUACGGCCCAGGCUCCUACGGGGGGAAGCAGUGGGGAAUGUUGAACAAUGGGGGGAAGCCUGAUGCAGCAACGCCGGGGGGGGGAUGACGGCCUUGGGGUUGUAACCCGCUUUCGCCUGGGACGAAGGGGGGGUGACGGUAAUGGGUAAAGAAGCACCGGCUAACUACGU